rnacentral:rRNA from 1 species
CCGGAGGCUACCGCUAUUGGAGUUCGAUUAAGCCAUGCGAGUCGCGAGUCUUAGGGACUCGGCGUACCGCUCAGUAACACGUGGAUAACCUGCCCUGUUCAGGGGGAUAACCUCGCGAAAGUGAGAAUAAUACCCCAUAGUUCACCAUGCCUGGAACGGUUGGUGGAUGAAAGCUCUGGCGGAACAGGAUGGGUCUGCGGCGUAUCAGGUAGUAGGGGGUGUAAUGGACCUCCUAGCCCUCGACGCGUACGGGUUGUGGGAGCAAUCGCCCGGAGAUGGAUUCUGAGACACGAAUCCAGACCCUACGGGGUGCAGCAGGCGCGAAAACUUGACAAUGCGAGAAAUCGUGAUCAGGGAACUCCAAUUGUCCCCGUUUUUACGGGGUUCUGAAUUGACUCUAAACAGGUCGAGUAAUAGGGGCGGGAAAUAUCGGUGCCAGCCGCCGCGGUAAUACCGAAGCCCCAAGUGGUCGUCGUUCUUAUUGGGCCUAAAACGUCCGUAGCCGGUUUGGUACAUUCGUGGGUAAAUCAGACAGCUUAACUGUCUGAAUUCUGCGAGCACGGCCAAACUUGAGACCGGGAGAGGUGUAGGGUACCUGCGGGGUAGGGGUAAAAUCCUGUCAUCCCGUAGGGACCACCAGUUGCGAAGGCUCUACACUAGAACGGAUCUGACGGUCAGGGACGAAGCCUAGGGGCACGAACCGGAUUAGAUACCCGGGUAGUCCUAGGUGUAAACGCUGUGGACUUUGUGUCGGGAAUUCUUCGAGGAUUCUCGGUGCCGGAGUGAAGAUGUUAAGUCCACUGCCUGGGGAGUACGGUCGCAAGGCUGAAACUUAAAGGAAUUGGCGGGGGAGCACUGCAGCGAGAGGAGCGUGCGGUUUAAUUGGAUCAACGCCGGG